rnacentral:rRNA from 1 species
UACGGAGGGUGCGAGCGUUGUCCGGAAUCACUGGGCGUAAAGGGCGCGUAGGCGGCGCGGAUAGUCGGCGGUGAAAGCCCGGAGCUCAACUCCGGGUCGGCCUCGAUACUUCCGGGCUUGAGCACUGUAGAGGCAGAUGGAAUUCCGGGUGUAGCGGUGGAAUGCGUAGAGAUCCGGAAGAACACCGGUGGCGAAGGCGGUCUGCUGGGCAGUUGCUGACGCUGAUGCGC